CGGCAUACGAGAUACAUCGGUGACUGGAGUUCAGACGUGUGCUCUUCCGAUCUGAUGACGUCAUCCUUCGGAGCGUCGUAAUGACGUGACGGCGUGCCUUUUGCAUAAUGAACCUACGAGUUACCUUCCCCGGCAAGGUUAAGUACCUAAGGUACGGAGCCGAAGCGAAAGCGAGUCUGAACAGGGCGCCAAGUCGGGGGGGGUAGACGCGAAACCGAGUGAUCUACCCUUGGCCAGGUUGAAGGUUGGGUAACACCAACUGGAGGACCGGAUGGGUAAGCGUUGAAAAGCUUUCCAAUGAGCUGAGGGUAGGGGUGAAAGGCUAAUCAAACUCGGAGAUAGCUCGUACUCCCCGAAAUGCAUUUAGGUGCAGCCUCUUUAUAGUAUAUCGUGAGGUAGAGCGACUGAUUGGAUGCGAGGGCUUCACCGCCUAUCAAGUCCAGAUAAACUCCGAAUGCGCGAUAUAUAUUUACAGGGAGUGAGGGCGCGGGUGCUAAGGUCCGUGUCCGAGAGGAGAAGAAUCCAGACCACCGGCUAAGGCCCCCAAAUGAUCGUUAAGUUGAACUAACGAGGUCGGAUCGCAGAGACAGCUAGGAUGUUGGCUUGGAAGCAGCCAUUCAUUUAAAGAGUGCGUAACAGCUCACUAGUCGAGCGAUCUGGCGUGGAUAAUAAUCGGGCAUAAACGAUCUGCCGAAGCCGUGGAUGUCGCAAGACAUGGUAGGGGAGCAUUCCAUGCCGCGUCGAAGAUGAGGGAUGACCCUUGUUGGAGCGCAUGGAAAAGCAAAUGUAGGUAUGAGUAACGAUAAGGGGGGCGAGAAACCCCCCCGCCGAAAGACCAAGGUUUCCUGAUCAACGCUAAUCGGAUCAGGGUGAGUCGGGACCUAAGGCAAAGCCGAACGGCGCCGCCGAUGGAAGAAUGGGUUAAUAUUCCCAUACUGCCUCAUGGAGUGACGUGGAGACGGAGAAGUGACAGUCCUGCCGGCUGACGGAAUAGCCGGUUGAAGGGUGUAGAUAUUGAUUCCCGUAGGCAAAUCCGCGGGGAGAGUCGAACCUGACAGUAUACCGAGUACUUGUACGAGGUAAUAUGGACGUAACCAUGCUCCCAAGAAAAUCCGCUAAACUUAUCCAUGCGGCACCCGUACCGUAAACGGACACACGUGGUCGGGUUGAGAAUACUGAGGCGCUCGAGUGAUUCACGGUUAAGGAACUAGGCAAAUUGACCCUGUAACUUCGGGAUAAAGGGUCCUCGUCGUAAGGCGAGGCGCAGAGAAUAGGUCCAGGCAACUGUUUAACAAAAACACAUGGCUGUGCUAAAUGGAAACAUGAUGUAUACAGCCUGACACCUGCCCGGUGCCGGAAGGUUAAGAGGAGAUGUCAUCCGCGAGGAGAAGCGUUGAAUUGAAGCCCCGGUAAACGGCGGCCGUAACUAUAACGGUCCUAAGGUAGCGAAAUUCCUUGUCGGGUAAGUUC
rnacentral:rRNA from 1 species